rnacentral:misc_RNA from 1 species
AACUUUCAACAAUGGAUCACUUGGUUCUCGCAUCGAUGAAGAACGCAGCGAAACGCGAUAGUUAAUGUGAAUUGCAGAAUUCAGUGAAUCAUCGAGUCUUUGAACGCACAUUGCGCCCCUCGGUAUUCCGGCGGGCAUGUCUGUUUGAGCGUCAUUACGAACCCCCUCGGCCGGUCAUUUUUGGUGCCCGGCCGGUUAUGGGCCGACUUAACCGGCCUCUCAGGAGGCCCGGUCGGCUUUAAAUAGACGCUACGCGAGCGGUCCGACCCGAAGAACAUGGUAGAUUCGUUUUUGCUGUUCCCCAAGGUCGCGGCCGACACCGCCUGAAAAUAACCGAUCACAAGGUUUGACCUCAGAUCAGACAAGGAUACCCGCUGAAUUUAAGCAUAUCAAUAAGCGGAGGCU